rnacentral:rRNA from 1 species
AGAGAUGUGUGAUGACGCAUAUCAAUAAGCGGAGGAAAAGAAACUAACAAGGAUUCCCUUAGUAACGGCGAGUGAAGCGGGAAGAGCUCAAAUUUGAAAUCUUCAAGGUUCUACCUUGACGAAUUGUAGUUUAAAGAAGUGUUUUCUGUUAGCUGGAGUGGCAAAAGUUCUUUGGAAUAGGACAUCAUAGAGGGUGAGAAUCCCGUAUUUGGUCAUUCCUUCUAGCUUUGUGAUACACUUUCAACGAGUCGGAUUGUUUGGGAAUGCAGUCCAAAAUGGGUGGUAAAUUUCAUCUAAAGCUAAAUAUUGGCGAGAGACCGAUAGCGAACAAGUACCGUGAGGGAAAGAUGAAAAGAACUUUGAAAAGAGAGUUAAACAGUACGUGAAAUUGUCAAAAGGAAAGCGUUUGACACCAGUGUUGUUUUUCCGAAAAUCAAUUACGAAUGUUUUGUUUUUGAGGAGUUAUGACUUCAUCGGCUUGCUCCUUUCUUUAUGAAACUUUCUUAAUGCACUUUUCGGUUAACAAGUCAACAUCAAUUUCUUUUGUUGUAAAAGGGUAUGAGGAAGGUGGCUUUCUUUUCGGAGAAAGUGUUUAUAGCCUUGUGCCUCUGCAAUCGGAGAGAUUGAGGUCUGCAGCGUAGAUCCUUCGGGGUUAGAUACGUUUGUGCUAAGUUAUAGCUUUUCAUAGACAACUUGUUGACUAUGUUUAGUCUUGUAGCUUACUCGCUUAUGCUAUUUUACCUACGCUUAGGAUGUUGACAGCAGUAUAGACUGU